rnacentral:misc_RNA from 1 species
UACGGAGGGUGCAAGCGUUAUCCGGAAUUACUGGGUUUAAAGGGUGCGUAGGCGGCCUUAUAAGUCAGGCGUGAAAUUUAUAUGCUUAACAUAGGAAUUGCGUUUGAUACUGUGAGGCUGGAAUCAGGAUGAGGUAAGCGGAAUGUGGCAAGUAGCGGUGAAAUGCAUAGAUAUGCCAUAGAACACCAAUUGCGAAGGCAGCUUACUAGACCUAGAUUGACGCUGAGGCACGAAAGCGUGGGGAGCGAACAGG